UGCUGUACUCAGCUUCGUGGUCGUCUUGGGCAUGUCUGUAUCAGCUUUGAGCCGUCUUGGGCAUGUCUGUAUCAGCUUGGAGUCGUCUUGGGCAUGUCUGGAUCAGUCUUGGAGUCGUCGUUGGGCAUGUCUGUAUCAGCUUUGAGUCGUCUUGGAUGUCUGUAUCAGCUUUGAGUCGUCUCUGGUGCAUGUCUGUCUCAGCUUGGGUCGUCUUGGGCAUGUCUGUAUCAGCUUCGGAAGUCGUCUGGGCAUGUCUGUCUCAGCUUGGAGUCGUCUUGGGAUGUCUGUAUCAGCUUGAUCGUUUGGCAUGUUGUAUCAGCUUUGAGUCGUCUUGGGAUGUCGUUUCAGCUUUGAGUCGUUUGGGCAUGUCUGUUUCAGCUUUGAGUCGUCUUGGGCAUGUCUGUAUGAGCUUCGAGUCGUCUUGGGCAUGUCUGUAUCAGCUUCGAGUCGUCUUGGGCAUGUCUGUAUCAGCUUUGGAUGUCUUGGGCAUGUCUGUAUCAGCUUCGAGUCGACUUGGGCAUGUCUGUAUCAGCUUUGGAUUGGGCUAUUUCUCACCUUUUGGCGGUGAACACCAUUUUCAAGUCUUUCCACAAAUUUCAAUGUGGAAUAGUCACGGGGUAUAAAACAUUCUCAAGGGCACUGUAUUCUAUACUGUAUGCUGUCAUGGCUCACUAUAGUAACUACUGCUGUACACACCUUUUUAUUAAUGUACUGUCUAUAAAGUACAAUAUAUAUACAUUUAUUAUAUAUUCCGGACUCUGACAUUGCUCGUUCUGAUACUUCUUAAUUUAGUUUUUUGUUUAAAACUUGUUCUGGAUGAUUGUGGUUAGUUUAUUUGUAUAUUUUUUAUUAUUAUUGCUAGUACUACUGCACUGUUGGAGCUAGAAAACACAUGCCAUGAGAACAACCAAAAGGAAAACAUUGGUUCUAUAAAACGCAAACAAGCUUGAUGUUGACUAGUUCAUUAGAAACAAUGGCUAACCACCGAGUAGAUUACAGUGGCAUGUGUUCAGUCGUCAGGUUGUUCUAGCUUGUAUUAGUAGCUAACGAGGAUUCCCUGGAAUGGCACUUAGCAUAGAUAUCCUAACCUAAUAGUGACCCUGCAAUAGAGCUUAGCAUAAAGUACCUAACCUAGAUGACCCUGGCAAUAGAGCAUUAGCAUAAGUACCUAACCUAGAUGACCCUGGCAAUAGAGCAUUAGCAUAAGUAUCUAACCUAGAUGACCCUGGCUAUAAAGCAUUAGCAUAAGUACCUAACCUAGAUGACCCUGGCAAUAAAGCAUUAGCAUAAGUACCUAACCUAGAUGACCCUGGCUAUAAAGCAUUAGCAUAAGUACCUAACCUAGAUGACCCUGGCUAUAUAGCAUUAGCAUAAGUAGCUAACCAGGAUUACCCUGGCUAUAUUGCAUUAGCAUAAGUAGCUAACCAGGAUUACCCUGGCUAUAUUGCAUUAGCAUAAGUAGCUAAUCAGGUUAUUCAGGCAUAUGUUGAGGCUCAGCAGCCACAAUCUGUUAGUGUAUUAGGUAUUAGUUAAUAUUCUGAUAGUAAAUGGUGUUAGUGCUGUUAGUAGUGUUGAGUUUAGUGAUAAACAUGAUGCUAGUAGUGAUGAUAGUGUUGAGGGUUGGAGUGUGUGAGGGGUAGGGGUUGUGGGUUAGAGUGUGUGUUGGGAGUUAGUCAGAUUAACAGGUCUGAAUGAUGUGACACAUACACUGACACACACACACUGACACACACAGUGUUAAAUGGGUUAGUCAUUCCACACACAUGCAGCCGCCUCUCGCUGCAUGCAGUCAACAGCAAGAGGAAGAUAGGAACGAGAAAACAAACAACAACAGAAGAGCCUGGGCUCAGCAGCAGGAUGGACAGCAUGCAGAGGAGGAAUGGAGAAAAAUAAUAGGAGAAAAUUAAAAAGGUGGGAGAGAGGGAGGUUGGCCUCUGUCUCUGUGUUAAAUGGACAAAUCAGAGAGGCAGGACCUGAAGUUGCACCAUGCAGGGGGAGCGGCCAAUCGCGUGCAGCUGAGGAAAGAGCCAAAUCAGGACACGCCUACAUGUCAACAAUGGGGAGAUGGAGUGAACGUCGGAAAAAGGUCAAAGGAAAGGUAGAGAAAAUAGCGGGGGCUAGGAGGAGGGGAGUGUUAAGCCGAGAGUACCAACCGCCAUCAUCCUGUUCUAGUAUAGUUUUAGUUGUUCUACGGCUCAGAAAAUAACACAGUAACCGAAACUGGGAAAGGAUUAGAGUUAUAUCUACCAAACAAUGGAGUUUGUUUACCAUAGCGUGUCCAAUGCCUGAGUGCUUUGUGGAGAGGGGGAGGAAGGAGAGCAACAAGUGUGAACAGAACGACAUCCGUAAAGGACAAAGAAAAGGUAGAAGGCCAGUGGAGGUUAGAGAGGAGUGGAGAAGGCUAGGAGAAGGCAACAGGUUAGUAGUAUGACACAUUCCAUGGAUGGAGGUUAGUUAGUAUUACUAGCAGGUUAGUAAGUACAGUUAGUAGUUAGUGGUUGGUACACACAGGCAAACAGCAGAAAGAAGCGACAGGGCGCAUGAGUACAGGGCCCCCAGCCCGGCGCGAGAGUAACAGACACACACACACACACACACACACACACACCCACCACUCACACACCACACACACACACACCACACACACACCCACACACACACACACCACACACACACACACACACACACACACACACACUGGGAGGUAGACAAAGACACCCCGCGCGCUGGCGCGCUCUUCGACGCAGACACACCCGCCGCGGGCGGCCC
ensembl:lncRNA